rnacentral:rRNA from 1 species
UACGUAGGGGGCAAGCGUUGUCCGGAAUUAUUGGGCGUAAAGAGCUCGUAGGCGGUUCGUCGCGUCGGCUGUGAAAACCCGGAGCUCAACUCCGGGCCUGCAGUCGAUACGGGCGGACUUGAGUGUUGCAGGGGAGACUGGAAUUCCUGGUGUAGCGGUGAAAUGCGCAGAUAUCAGGAGGAAUACCGAUGGCGAAGGCAGGUCUCUGGGCUGACACUGACGCUCAUGCACGAAAGCGUGGGGAGCAAACAGG